GGAGGCCUAAUACAUGCAAGUCGGACGGGAUUUGGGAGCUUGCUCCCGAUGAGAGUGGCGCACGGGUGCGUAACACGUAUGUAACCUACCUUUGUCAGGGGGAUAGCCUCUCGAAAGAGAGAUUAAGCCCGCAUAAAAUCACACUAUGGCAUCAUAGAAUGAUCAAAUAUUUAUAGGACAAAGAUGGGCAUGCGGAACAUUAGCUAGUUGGCGGGGUAACGGCUCACCAAGGCUACGAUGUUUAGGGGAUCUGAGAGGAUGACCCCCCACACUGGUACUGAGACACGGACCAGACUCCUACGGGAGGCAGCAGUAAGGAAUAUUGGUCAAUGGACGGAAGUCUGAACCAGCCAUGCCGCGUGCAGGAAGACGGCCCUACGGGUUGUAAACUGCUUUUGUACCGGAAUAAACCUUGAUUCGAGAAUCAAGCUGAAUGUACGGUAAG
rnacentral:rRNA from 1 species